rnacentral:rRNA from 1 species
GAUGAACGCUGGCGGCGUGCCUAAUACAUGCAAGUCGAGCGAACAGACGAGGAGCUUGCUCCUCUGACGUUAGCGGCGGACGGGUGAGUAACACGUGGAUAACCUACCUAUAAGACUGGGAUAACUUCGGGAAACCGGAGCUAAUACCGGAUAAUAUAUUGAACCGCAUGGUUCAAUAGUGAAAGACGGUUUUGCUGUCACUUAUAGACUGAUCCGCGCCGCAUUAGCUAGUUGGUAAGGUAACGGCUUACCAAGGCAACGAUGCGUAGCCGACCUGAGAGGGUGAUCGGCCACACUGGAACUGAGACAAGGUCCAGACUCCUACGGGAGGCAGCAGAAGGGAAUCUUCCGCAAUGGGCGAAAGCUUGACGGAGCAACGCCGCGUGAGUGAUGAAGGUCUUCGGAUCGUAAAACUCUGUUAUUAGGGAAGAACAAAUGUGUAAGUAACUAUGCACGUCUUGACGGUACCUAAUCAGAAAGCCACGGCUAACUCCGUG